UUCCUGGCCACCUGAGACAAGGCAGUGUCUGUCCCCCGAUACCUGAGUCAGUGUCCUAUCACGUUGCCUUGUUUUAUUUUCUUCAAGCAGUUAACCCCCUCUGAAAUUGUCCUAUUUACUGAUUUUCUUCUUCGUUGUUUGCUUUCCUUUUCUUCACCUUAUUUCCUUUGGAGGCUAACCACACACUUUGCACAGGGCUGGGAACAGAGUAGGUGCUUAAUCUAUUCUGGUUGAAUGAAUGGAUGAAUAGAUUUAGCACUGAAAUAGGAGCUGCUCACUGAGAUUCAUUUUUGAAGGUUUCCUGUCAGGGACUGGGAGCCCUUGCUAAUUCCUGGGAUUCCGAUGGGACCAGUGAACAUUUGAGCCUUCAGGGAAUAACUGCUUCCUGUUACAGAAGGAUGAGCUGAGAUCCAGUGCAGGUGGCAAGAAAACCCAGCACACACUUGCUUAAACUAUCAAACUAGUGGCGGGUUAGGUAUCAGGUAAGGACUGAUCCAGCGUCUCAGCUGUGUGACCAAGGACCCAGUGUUUUCCAAGCCUCUUCUCUGCCUCCAAGGCAUUGUCUUCAUCUUUGGUCUAGGUUCUUGGGUGGCUGCAGCUUUAAUAUGGGCCACGUAGUUUCACGUUGCCAUUUACUGGAAGACAUACCUCUUCCAGCCAGAGUGCAAAAGUCCUGGACUUCUCUGACUGGCUCAUGAACUUCUUCCUCUAAGAGCAAUUCGUAAUAAUCAAGGACAAUUUGGAGACUGUAGCAGACUUAAGAAGAGGAGCCCCAGCUACCUGUCUGCUUGCCUGUGUCUUUGGAGGUGUUCUUGGAUAUCUCAAGCCUAAUGUGGGCAGGACUCUCUAGAUCCUGCUUCAGGGGCACCUGCUGGGGCUCCCCCUAUGAGCCUGGACUUGCUGCGAGAGAGCAGAGGGUGUGGAAGAGUCCAGCUGGAACACUUCCUCUGGGCAGAGCCCGUGGAGGGGACCAGCUCUGAAGGUCACUUGGUCAGUGCCCAACAGCACUGACACAGAGACGGGAGAUAAG
ensembl:lncRNA